rnacentral:lncRNA from 1 species
AUGCCUGAACAGAUGCUGAUACGUUGCACCGUCCUACUAGCCUGUAAACUAGUUUCAGGGGAGCUGCCCAUGGUGUCCCCACAGGAGGAAUGUGGUAGGACAGUGUCUCCUGGUAGGACAGUGUCUCCUGAUCCAGUACUACCAGACUCACCAGUCCAAAGGGUAGGCUGUUCAAUCAAAGUCCUGCUGGAGCAGUUGAUCCUCCUGUGGGGGAGAGACUGUUGUUCAUCAGCCCCCCUCCACCUGCUCUUCACAGAAAUGACACUCAGUGCUGUCCUCAUGGCCAGAGACUCACAGUGGGACAACUUCCUGUUCUUGGUCAGACAGCUGGUAGAGCAGGGGAUUCUGGGAGAGGAAGAAGUGGUCUCUCAUUGGAGGAAACUGUCACAGUUACCCUGGCCAACGGAAUUCAUAGAGAAGAUCCAGCAGCAGUCCUCUUCCACCACAUCCCUUCCUAUGCCUGAGCUUCAGAACCACAUGGACAUGUUGCAGGUCUCACCACAACCUGUAGAGGGAGCCAACUAA